AGUGAACGCUAGCGGCAGGCUUAAUACAUGCAAGUCGUGGGGCAGCAUGAAUGUAGCAAUACAUUUGAUGGCGACCGGCAAACGGGUGCGGAACACGUACACAACCUUCCUAUAAGUGGGGAAUAGCCCAGAGAAAUUUGGAUUAAUACCCCGUAACAUAACGAUGUGGCAUCACAUUGUUAUUAUAGCUUCGGCGCUUAUUGAUGGGUGUGCGGCUGAUUAGAUAGUUGGCGGGGUAACGGCCCACCAAGUCUACGAUCAGUAGCUGAUGUGAGAGCAUGAUCAGCCACACUGGCACUGAGACACGGGCCCGACUCCUACGGGAGGCAGCAGUAAGGAAUAUUGGUCAAUGGACGCAAGUCUGAACCAGCCAUGCCGCGUGAAGGAUUAAGGUCCUCUGGAUUGUAAACUUCUUUUAUCUGGGACGAAAAAAGGCUUUUCUAAGUCACUUGACGGUACCAGAUGAAUAAGCACCGGCUAACUCCGUGCCAGCCGCCGCGGUAAGAC
rnacentral:rRNA from 1 species